GUGGAAAGCCUUUCCGCUAAAGGUGCCGCCGCCGGGACGCGUGCCUGGGAGCGGAAACAUCCACCCGCCGGCCGCUCUCGGCGGGAGGGAAUCGAGCAUGGGUCUCGCUCAGAAACACCCGGGGAGAGGCAUUUUGGAAUAUCUGGCAUGUGAAUGAACACCUCUGACCUCAGGGAGCCUGUUCUGUCUGAGCCAACAAGCUGCCUUCUCAGCUGUGGCCUUCCACCAGGAUUGAACACUCACUUUUUUGGGGAAAAACCUGCCAGGUUACACCAUCAGCACCUCUGACAGCCAUCCUACUAACUCAUCUGAUCUCCUCCAUUCCUGUUUUUAGAGUCUGAAACAAGGGGAGAGCAGAUUCCUGCUCCAUUCAUAAUUACAGCAGUAAGCAUACCUGUAGUACUUGCUUUUUGAAUGUAUUUUCUGCAUGUUGAUUCAUUUACUAAUUACAUUUGGUAAUUAUUAAGAAAACCUAAUCCUUUCCUCUCCCUGCUAUGCCGCCAUUCUGCUCUUUAAAAAGAGAUAAAAAAAAAAGAGAUACAUUUUGCCAAGUGAGUCAAAAAUAAAUGUGUUGUUCAAGUUUGCAA